AACGAACGCUGGCGGCAGGCUUAACACAUGCAAGUCGAGCGCCCCGCAAGGGGAGCGGCAGACGGGUGAGUAACGCGCGGGAACGUACCCUUUGCUACGGAAUAGCUCCGGGAAACUGGACUUAAUACCGUAUGUGCCCUACGGGGGAAAGAUUUAUCGGCAAAGGAUCGGCCCGCGUUGGAUUAGCUAGUUGGUGGGGUAAUGGCCUACCAAGGCGACGAUCCAUAGCUGGUCUGAGAGGAUGAUCAGCCACAUUGGGACUGAGACACGGCCCAAACUCCUACGGGAGGCAGCAGUGGGGAAUAUUGGACAAUGGGCGCAAGCCUGAUCCAGCCAUGCCGCGUGAGUGAUGAAGGCCUUAGGGUUGUAAAGCUCUUUCACCGGAGAAGAUAAUGACGGUAUCCGGAGGAGAAGCCCCGGCUAACUUCGUGCCAGCCGCCGCCGUAAUAC
rnacentral:rRNA from 1 species